CCUGGGAGAGGGGCGGAGGGCAGCGGCACGCGCCCGGGGAGCGCGCUGCUAGGCAGCCGCUGCCUAAUCCCCAGGGCAGGCAGCAGGUGUUCACUCACCCCCCCGCCCCCGCCCAGGAGCGAGGGGGACGCUGCCGUGCCCUGCCUGCAGCGCCCUCGGGGCAUUCAUUUAGAAGGGGGCUCUUUGCCCGAUGCUCAGCAGCCCUUCCCCCCGCAGCGAGCUUUGCCCCCACGGCAUCUGCCUGCCGCCCUAUGAGCUAAUUCCUGAACGUCCGUAAGCGCCACAGAUCUUCUGCCACUGUUUUAAAUACGUGAAUUCCCUGCUUGGAACAACCACCUUGUUAAAAGGGAUAACGAAUGAGCAAAUGUAGGGCACAGAACAAUCCGACGCUGGCAAGGCACUGACUAGAUGACCUGUUAGCACUCAUACUAUCAGGCAAGAUCAUAGGAAAACCAGGAAGAGGAAGAAAGAGAGUCAGUUAUAUUGGAAAUGUCAUCAGGUGGACUGGUAUCCAAAGAAGAGUGAAAGCUUUACAACUUUGUUGUGACUGCAAAAGAUGGAAUUUGGUGAUCAACAGUCUCUACGUUAGAGACAGCACUUGAAGAAGAUGCAGUACUAUAGGCCUGGACAGUGGGACUCUGGACACACUAUGCAUGCUGGAGCCUGUCUCAGUCUAUCCAUUAGAGGGCAGUAGUACGACCACCAUGAUUGCAAGAGCGAAGGAGGACAGGAUUGCAACUCAGGCCGUGCGUAAGUAAGAAGGAACUGGAGAGGCAUAGACCCGCACCACCCCUUAUGCCCUCAGUCCGGAGCACGAGGGAAGAUACUGCACAUGUAUGGAUCAAUGGACACUGCUUGGAAAAACUUCUGGACUCAGACACAUGGCACAUAUGUGUAUCCACAUGUGGAAUUCAUAUAGGGACCAGAACUUGAAGAAGAAUUAGGAUUGCUGAAUUCUAUUCCUAGCUCUGCUACUGACUCCCUGUGUGAUCUUUGGCAAGUGAAUUAACCUGCUUGACAACUUAUGCUUCUGUAAACUAGGGAUAAUAAUAUACUUCACAGAUGGAGUGGUGUCCAGGAGCUUCUGGCCUGCUUCCUGAUUAACUUUGCUUCUAGGUAACCCAUGAGCCCAGUUGCACUGCUUUGGAACUGACAGAGUGGCCACAGCCCGUGAUUGGAUGCUGGUUUAGCAGCCCUGCUGAUAAGCCUGGCCCCCCACAGCAGAUCAGCAGCUGCUCAAUGUGUACCAUGUCUUCAGCUGUGCUUGCCCUUGUUCCAGUCCUUGCUCCUGCAUUGUUCCAGCCUUUGUUCCAGUCCCUGCUCCCCACCGGCUUCAGACUUCUGGCUUAGAUCUCCAGCUUUGCCUCUGGCUUAUGGCUGUGGUUGAUCAUCCAGUUCUGGCAUACAACUUCUGUCUCUCAGGAACUGAUCCCUGGCUCUGGCUUACAUUUCUGAUUUACCCCCUGCCUCUGGCAUUUGGCUUCUGUCCCUCUGGUACUGACCCUUGGCUCAUUUCCUGACUCUGCCCAUCAUGGACCCAGCUCUAACUGGUAGCCUGAACUCUUGCUUCCACCGCCUUGUCGGCUACAAAUGGUGAGGCAUAGUUGAGGUUUGUAAAAUGCUUUGACGUAUGCAGAUGAAAGGGGCUUUUACCUAUGCAGAGUAUUCUUAUUACUUUACCAGCAUUUUAUAUUAUAUGCAACAAAACUUUUUAAAAGUAGCAUCAACAAAAGCCUGUCAUUUUGACAAGAACAAAAUAUUGCAUUGGAAAAGAAAGGAAAAAUUAAAAUGACAGAAUCCACUGAAAGGAAAAAGACAUAAUGGAGACAUCUGGCUCUGUGCUGAUAAAAGCUCUCAAAGCUCCUAUCCCAUCAUCCUUUGCAGAGCUCAUCUGAAAGCGUAUCUUUCAAGGGUUUCCAAAAUGAAAAAAAAACAUCUGUCCACGUCUAACUAUGUUUGACCAACUGUUUAAAAAAAAGUGUUCGAGUGAUAAAAUCCUCAGGAAGAUAACCAUUUCUCAAACAAAAAGUUUGAGAGGGUUCAUCAGCCCAUUUGAGUAAUAAACAGAAGUGUGCCAUCAACAAUCUCAGGGGUGACCUGUAAAUGCAUAUUAAACUCUCCAUUCUCCCUGCUGUAUUACAUAAUUUUAUCUUCUUUUUUAUAGCACAGACUACCUGAGAAUUUACUCCCCUGAGAAGUUAAUAUCCCUUCUGGAACCUUUAGACACUUAUAAAAGCCGUCUGUAUAGCUCUGUUGGCAGCAUCUUGCAUCUUACUCAGAAGGCAUUGGGCUCAAUCCCACACUAGGCUUGGCUUCAUUAUUUUUAGUGCUGACACUGCAGUGUGGCAUUUGGAGUGGGGUGAGGAUUGCUGCUGCUGAGCAGAUAUUAAACGGAACUCCCUUUGUCUGUAUCAACUGUUGUGGAGCUCCAAAUCCUGCUCCUUCCUCCACGUGUGUAGAAGGCCUUGCCUGAAGCAGUACUAGUUCAGCACCAUUGAGGGUGGAGGAAACAGAAUUUUUAGAGACUGCUGCCAGGGGUUAUGCACACACCCAGAAUCCCUACAGAACUCAGCUCCGUAAGGGUUCCCACACAACCAUAUGCAGUGGUUGUUUGGAUGUAACACAGUAACAAUUGAUCUGUUGUUGCACAGAAUCUCCAACAUUGACCCAACAUAUGCAGGGGUACAGAGGCUACUGUAGUAGCACCAAGAUAGAUGUGGAGGUUGUGGAGAGCGGAGGAAGAUCUCCUCUCUCAGCUCCCUCGGAAGACACCAGCAGCUAGCCCAGUUAUCCAGGUUGGGCACUGAGAACGGGUAUUUCCCCACAGUGUCUGGUGACUGCUGAUUUUGCUUUCACAGUCACUGUGCUAUGAGUAUCUAACGUGUUGUUGUAAAACACUUGGGUAUCUCAAAAGAAUGGCCAUACUGGGUCAAUAGUCCAGUAUUCUCUCUUCUGCCAGUGGUCCAUCCUUUCAAAGUCUGAAAGGUGCCAUAGGAAAAUGCUAAUCUAAGAGAGAGAUGUCUUGCUAUAGGUUUAUAAUAAUGCCUCAUUUUCCAUGUCAGCUUUAGAACUAUAAUGUAUCAGAUUGCAAUUUUCAAUGGGAAAUAACUAUGGUGUCUAAGAAACUAACCACUGUUGUGAUCUCAGUUCAUUGUCGGUUUAGGAAGUAGAGUUGCUGACACCAUUUGGAAACCAUCCUACGUAGCAAUUCUGUAGAAAUACUUUCCUUAGUAAUAAUACAGAAUGAGAGAAAGAGAAGGAACCAAUGACAAUUGCAUAGAAACUAGGUCUCCUUGCGUGAGAGUUCAUCUCUUCCUGCUGCAUAUUCCCUACCUAAAAUUAUAAUCCUCUCUUUGUGAUCUAAUCAUUUCCACAGCAACCAAUUGUGAAUAUCACAAACACUUCAUGUGGGGGAAAAAAGCUGCAGGAAUAGAUGAACUCUGAAGAGCCAAAGAGUGCAUUUUUAUGCAAAUACCUUUAUUAAUAAAGAAAAAGGAGCAAAAUACGGAAGUAUAGGAGAUAGCAGCAGACUUGUUUCUAAAUAGAAUGCUUUUAAUCCUAGAUGUCACCUGCUCUUAUAGAAAUUGUUUUCACUAUUGAAAGAACCUGCUCAGCUGGUACUCCACUGCCAACAAAGAUACAUGAGAAUUGUUGCCUGGUGGCCCCAAGCUGACCUUGGAGGGCAUGUGUUUUUGGGUAAAAUAUAAUCUAUUUGCUAACAUCCUUAGAGAAAUAAUAAUAUACGUUAUUGAAGCUGUAACAGGAACUAGAAAAAUCCAAAUAUAUGUUUUAAAAAUAGGCUUGGCUGUAGGUUUUUAGUAGUAAGGGCUUAGCGAGGUCCAAAAGCAGUUUGCAGUCGCAUAAGCUAACGUGAGUAUUCUGUGCUGGUGAAAUGUACCUUGUGAUAGUUUAGAAACGCACUACGUGAUAAAUAGGUAAACUACAAAUGAACAUACAGUUGCACCUUAGGGUACCUUUGCAAUAAGGUAGCCAUGCAGCUAACUGCAUUCACAUAUCAAAACUAUUGAUACAUUAACACAAAUGGGUUGCACCAGUGGUCGGAAGUUUAACUAUGGUUAGCUGGAAUAACACACGUGGGCAGGGGCUGAAACCUUAUCAUAUAUGGUCCCGGACAUGCAUGGAUGAAAUAAGAAGAGGUGUAUAAAAGAUUUAAAUAGAGACUGGGAGUGGCUGCGUCAUUACACAUAUUGAAUCUAUUUCCCCAUGUUAAGUAUCCUCACAUCUUCUUUUCAACUGUCUAAAAUGGAGCAUCUUGAUUAUCACCACAAAA